rnacentral:rRNA from 1 species
UACAGAGGUCUCGAGCGUUGAUCGGAGUUAUUGGGCUUAAAGGGUGCGUAGGCGGACUCGUAAGUGUCUUGUGAAAUCCCACCGCUUAACGGUGGAACUGCAGGGCAUACUGCGAGUCUUGAGGCCAGUAGGGGUUGCCGGAACUGUAGGUGUAGCGGUGAAAUGCGUAGAUAUCUACAGGAACGCCGAUGGUGAAGACAGGCAACUGGGCUGGUACUGACGCUGAGGCACGAAAGCGUGGGGAUCAAACAGG